rnacentral:rRNA from 1 species
GAUGAACGCUGGCGGCGUGCCUAAUACAUGCAAGUCGAGCGAACAGACGAGGAGCUUGCUCCUUUGACGUUAGCGGCGGACGGGUGAGUAACACGUGGGUAACCUACCUAUAAGACUGGGAUAACUUCGGGAAACCGGAGCUAAUACCGGAUAAUAUUUUGAACCGCAUGGUUCAAUAGUGAAAGAUGGCUUUGCUGUCACUUAUAGAUGGACCUGCGCCGCAUUAGCUAGUUGGUAAGGUAACGGCUUACCAAGGCAACGAUGCGUAGCCGACCUGAGAGGGUGAUCGGCCACACUGGAACUGAGACACGGUCCAGACUCCUACGGGAGGCAGCAGUAGGGAAUCUUCCGCAAUGGGCGAAAGCCUGACGGAGCAACGCCGCGUGAGUGAUGAAGGUCUUCGGAUCGUAAAACUCUGUUAUUAGGGAAGAACAAACGUGUAAGUAACUAUGCACGUCUUGACGGUACCUAAUCAGAAAGCCACGGCUAACUACGUG